GACAGAGGAUGCAAGCGUUAUCCGGAAUGAUUGGGGCGUAAAGCGUCUGUAGGUGGCUUUUUUAAGUCCGCCGUCAAAUCCCCAGGGGCUCAACCCCUGGACAGGCGGUGGAAACUACCAAGCUGGAGUACGGUAGGGGCAGAGGGAAUUUCCGGUGGAGCGGUGAAAUGCGUAGAUAUCAGGAGGAACACCUGUGGUGUAGACAGCUUACUGGACCACUUCUGACGCUGAGACACGAAAGCGUGGGUAGCAAACAGG
rnacentral:rRNA from 1 species